GAGAUCGGAUAACACUGGAAACAGAUGCUAAUACCGGAUAACAACAGAUGAUGCCUAUCAACUGUUUAAAAGAUGGUUCUGCUAUCACUCUUGGAUGGACCUGCGGUGCAUUAGCUAGUUGGUAGGGUAACGGCCUACCAAGGCGAUGAUGCAUAGCCGAGUUGAGAGACUGAUCGGCCACAUUGGGACUGAGACACGGCCCAAACUCCUACGGGAGGCAGCAGCC
rnacentral:rRNA from 1 species